UCACAGUAGCAUGACAUUAACAGGCCGAGUCGUAACUUUCAAAAGUUCCUUCAAAACAAAUUAAAACGUUAAACAACGGACAUCGGAUUAUGAGGUAACUGUUUUUAAUUUCAGGUGAAGUUUUUGUGUACCUGGCCCAGACCUGGCCAACUAGGUGCUUGUGACAAUAGAAAUAAAAUUGUCUAAUCCAAUAAUGCAAGUUCGCAAGCUAUGUCUUCUGAAGCUAAACAAUUUCUGUUGCAAGAUUGGAGGAUGAGGAGGGCUCUGGUCGAACGGGGACUUGGAAGGUGGAUUAUCUGAGAAAAACUUUUGGAGGGUCAUGAGGAGUCUAUCGGAAAUCCUGCUAUGACUAAUCACUCCCUAGCAAAACUGGCCUCGUACUCUUCUCUCUUCUUCACCGGCCAGGU